rnacentral:lncRNA from 1 species
UAUUCAGCUGGAGUCAAAGAUGCAGUAGAAGAGGAAAGCAGAGGAGAGGUAAGGAAGGAGAGAGAUCAGAGAGAUGUGACACAUGAGAAGAGCUUAGCCAUUGUUGGCUUUGAAGAUGGAGGAGGCAGAGUGAGAGCCAAAAAAUAAGGGUGUCCUCUAAAAGCUGUGUGAGACCCGGAUGAAAGCCAGUAAGGAAACAGAGACCUCCAUCCUACAACCUCAUGGACCUGAAUCCUGCCAACAACCUAAAUGAGCCUGGAAGCAGAUUUUCACCCAGAGCUUCCAGUGAGGAAUACAGCCCUGCCGUCUUCUUGAUGUUAGCCCCAUGAGAGCCUGUCGAACUUCUGAUCUGCAGAAACUUGCGAACAGAUUGGCUCUUCCCUGUGUCAGCUUAAUCCUCACAGAACACGUAACAGACUCGAAUAGCGCCUCAUCAUGGCCUCUCAACAAAACUCUCAGACCAAGAGGACCCAACGAGGGCUCUUCAUGGAUCAGAACGUUAUUGCUUUUGGCCAAAGCUAUUGCAGAACUGACAGUCACCGAGUCUUCAAAAUACAACAUAAGACGAAGGGCACUCAUUCUGUCCUGGGAGCUCCACCUUGAAAAAAGAAAAGAAGACCCCACUCCACCCACUGCUGACUCCUUCAAAGUGGAGAGACGACCUUUGACUCUUCAGCUCACCAUCUCCCCCACCCCUCAUAGACGCUCUGGCUGCAAGGGACACCUCAGCGACUGUUUCUUAGUGGGUCUCAUGCUGUGUAAGUCUACAGUGAUGAAUCCGAUACAAAUUCCAGGACACUGAUGGUGAAAAAUAUAAAUGAAGGGCUGAUAUCAGGCUCUGCUCUUUGCGUUGAUAUCAGGGAGGCAGAGGGAGGGACUGGGUCAAUCCAGUGAAAGCCUGAGUGGAGAACUUCUUGAGUCUCAGGGUGAGUGAAGGCAGUUGUGGGAUUAUUUCUAGCAAGGCUGCUGGAGAAGCAGAUGAUCAAACCAGAGGCUUAGCUGUUUCAAGGCUGCCUUAAUGGGUGCAAGGCUUCCAUAUCCCCUCCUUUGCGUCUUCCCAGCACCUGUCUUAUCCCCGCCUCAGUUAUUAGCUGGGUGGCCUUGGGCAAGUC